CCUACGGGGGGCAGCAGUGGGGAAUAUUGGACAAUGGGGGGAACCCUGAUCCAGCCAUGCCGCGUGUGUGAAGAAGGCCCUCGGGUUGUAAAGCACUUUCAGUGAGGAAGAACGCCUGGUGGUUAAUACCCAUCAGGAAAGACAUCACUCACAGAAGAAGCACCGGCUAACUCCGUGCCAGCAGCCGCGGUAAUACGGAGGGUGCGAGCGUUAAUCGGAAUUACUGGGCGUAAAGCGCGCGUAGGUGGCUUGAUAAGCCGGUUGUGAAAGCCCCGGGCUCAACCUGGGAACGGCAUCCGGAACUGUCAAGCUAGAGUGCAGGAGAGGAAGGUAGAAUUCCCGGUGUAGCGGUGAAAUGCGUAGAGAUCGGGAGGAAUACCAGUGGCGAAGGCGGCCUUCUGGACUGACCCUGACACUGAGGUGCGAAAGCGUGGGUAGCAAACAGGAUUAGAUACCCCAGUAGUC
rnacentral:rRNA from 1 species